CCCUUCCCUUGGGUGGGAGUUUUGGUCGUUAAAACAAAUGAGCGGCCAGGAACGCAGGGAACUGAAAUCUAAAUACAAGCAGGCGGAGCAACAGCUAAGACCGGUGAACGGCUGUCAGACGCGGGCGCCGCUGGAGGAGAAACGCUAGGAGAGGUUGAGAGGAAGAGCCGGCAGAAAGGGCACCCGGCAGGUUUAGAGAUGAUAGGCAAGGAGCUGAGCGCUGGGUGGUUUCUGAAUCCGGCUUUUGUUCUUCUGUGCUUGCCUAGCCAGGGUUAACUUUGUGUGUCAGAAAAUCUCCGUGCUUGGUCUGUUCAAAAUGCGGAGAUCAGUUUAGGGAUCUUCACGUUUUCAAAAUAACCGCUCUCCUCUUGUCCAGAUGUGGGCUUCUGCGUCAACCAGCUGGAUUCUCAGCCUUCAUAGUUCUCAUUUUCAAAUCAUUCACCGCAGCCCCGGGGGCUAGGAGCUUACAUGUUUAAUAAAAACGGAGAUUGUCGCAUUGUUCCCCAAUUUAAGGAACUGAGGCUGUAAGAAAAGCAUAAAAUAUGGUGCGAUUUGCCAUAGAAUCACAAGAUUUGGAAACCCUGAAGGGUUAGCUAGAGAGCUCAGUGAAGAAAAAGAGCAUAGGAAGGGAUUGUAGGAAUGCAGGGCUGGAAGAGACGUUGAGACAUCGUGCAGUCUGUUCUGCUGCCCCGAGCCAGGAUCAGGGAUAUCCAGAGCAUCCCUGACAGAUACUUGUCUAACCUCCAAGACGAGAUGCACAGGAAUGCGCAAGAAGAAUCAGGAGGCUCCACAGAGAUCUAGUGAAUCACAGAGGAGGGAAUGCCUGAAUUGCUGUCCCCUUAUGCAGUGUUAGUGCUGCCUUCAACCCCAGUUCUGCACUUGGGAUCAGGGUCUUCCUUUCUUUCUACAGCAGCUCGCCCAAAGCCGGCGCUCAUCAGCUGGCUGCCAGCGGAGCCGCGGCUCUGCCAUGUGAAGCAGGAGCCUUGUCAGCAGCUCCCCGGAGCCGGCUUUUGCAGAGAGACACAUGUUGCUGCAGCUUGCUAGGUAAGGCAACCCCAGGGGUUGGAGGGGAGGUGGUCA
rnacentral:lncRNA from 1 species